GGGCCCGUAGUGUAGCUUGGUUAACAUGUCAGCUUGUCACGCUGAAGAUCGCGAGUUCGAAUCUCGUCGGGCCCGCCA
rnacentral:tRNA from 1 species